rnacentral:rRNA from 2 species
AUUGCCUUAGUAACGGCGAGUGAAGCGGCAAAAGCUCAGAUUUGAAAUCUGUCGCCAUUUUGGCGGCCGAGUUGUAGUCUGUAGAGGUGUAUUCGAGUGUGGCUUUGGCUUAAGUUCCUUGGAACAGGGCGUCAUAGAGGGUGAGAACCCCGUUAACGGCCUUUGUCUUAUGCUCAUGUGAAUCUCCUUCAACGAGUCGAGUUGUUUGGGAAUGCAGCUCUAAAUGGGUGGUAAAUUCCAUCUAAAGCUAAAUACUGGCAAGAGACCGAUAGCGCACAAGUAGAGUGAUCGAAAGAUGAAAAGAACUCUGAACAGAGAGUUAAAUAGUACGUGAAAUUGUUGAAAGGGAAGCACUUCCGACCAGACGCACUUGCAGCCGAUCAAUCUCCAUUCUUGAAGGUGUACUCGGUUGUCUGUGGGUCAGCAUCAGUUAUGGCGGUGGGAAAAAGACUAAGGGAAUGUGGCUCCUUUCGGGGAGUGUUAUAGCCUUUGGUGCAAUGCUGCCUGCUGUGACUGAGGACCGCGCUU